rnacentral:rRNA from 1 species
UACCAGCACCCCGAGUGGUCGGGACGAUUAUUGGGCCUAAAGCAUCCGUAGCCGGUUCUACAAGUCUUCCGUUAAAUCCACCUGCUUAACAGAUGGGCUGCAGAGGAUACUAUAGAGCUAGGAGGCGGGAGAGGCAAGCGGUACUUAGUGGGUAGGGGUAAAAUCCGUUGAUCCACUGAAGACCACCAGUGGCGAAGGCGGCUUGCCAGAACGCGCUCGACGGUGAGGGAUGAAAGCUGGGGGAGCAAACCGG